rnacentral:tRNA from 1 species
UAAAGAUAGAGUCCAAUUUUACAUGUUAAUCUUAGCAACAAUUUGAAUUGUAGUAGAAGGAAAAUCCGUUGGCUUUAUUGACCGUGAGGGUUCAAGUCCCUCUACCCCC